AUUGAACGCUGGCGGCAGGCCUAACACAUGCAAUUCGAACGAGUGGCGGACGGGUGAGUAAUGUCUGGGAAACUGCUCGAUGGAGGGGGAUAACUACUGGAAACGGUAGCUAAUACCGCAUACCAUCCGAUGUGCGCAGAUGGGAUUAGCUAGUAGGUGGGGUAACGGCUCACCGAGGCGACGAUCCCUAGCUGGUCUGAGAGGAUGACCAGCCACACGGGAACUGAGACACGGUCCAGACUCCUACGGGAGGCAGCAGUGGGGAAUAUUGCACAAUGGGCGAAAGCCUGAUGCAGCCAUGCCGCGUGUAUGAAGAAGGCCUUCGGAUUGUAAAGUACUUUCAGCGAGGAGGCGUUACUAGCAGAAGAAGCACCGGCUAACUCCGUGCCAGCAGCCGCGGUAAUAC
rnacentral:rRNA from 1 species